GUAAACUACCCGCCGCUAAGUCGGAGUACCGACUCUAGCGGGGGCUUUUAAAGAAGCAAGCGAGUUUACCAGGCUGAGUGUUAAUUCACUACGUUACGAAAGUCAAGAUACCUAAGAAUGCGUAGCCAGUUUUUAGCUCUAUCGUUUGCGAUUAAACAGACAUAUCGGGUUGAAGUCAGUGUCGUAAACCCAAAAAGCUUUCGUAACAUUGCCAAGGCUAACAUUAC
ncrna:Microcoleus chthonoplastes PCC 7420 HNH endonuclease-associated RNA and ORF (HEARO) RNA